CCUCUCCCUGCUCCACUGGAAGGUGUCAGGGAAAGCCGAGGGAGGCAGGGCUUUAAUUUCCAUCUGUCGGCAAUGAAGUCUCCCCUCCACAGUGUCACUGGAGACUAGGUGAGGGUUCUAGAAUUCCAUCACCAUGGAGCAGUAACAGCCGUGUCUCCUAGUGGAGAGUCAGGACCUCCACUACUGCACAGCAGUAACUAGGCCCCACUUCCUUCACCCACACGGUGUUACUGGAGGCCCUCCUACCCCAACCAGGCAGGGAUACAUCAGUGAAGCCUAGUGGGGACAUGAGCGCCCAUCUCCAGCUAGGAGUAACAAGGAGCCUCUACCCUUUGACUGUCAGCAGGGCCCAAGUGGGGAACCCGGACUUCUACCUCCACUGGGCAACACUGAGGCAGCAUCCCAAUCUUCUCCUGCUGGAGUGGUGUCAAAAGAAAACCAGCUAAAACAGAAGUCUAAGUAAGACCCAGAGUCAUACAGCAUAACAUCCAAAAUGUCCAGGUUUCAACUGAGAAUCACUCAACAUCCCAAGAACCAAGACGACCUCAAACUGAAUGAAUAAAAGACAAUUAUGAUUAAAGGCACAGCAGGGAACUAAAACAUUCAUCUUGCCAACAGGGUUAGGUAACUGGGCAGCAGCUGAUUAGCUACCAUAGUUGGACUACUGCUGGGCACUAGAAGUCAGAAACAGCUCCUUAGAAGACAUGCCAACAUAGUUGCUCCCUCCCUCAUCAAACUUGUCAUUAAGGCUUCAUUAAUUUCCUCUCCAUUCCUGGAGUGGGAUGGUUGAAUCAGAGUGGGACUGUGUGUGUCUGGAAGUGACCUCAACUCAAUCAACUAGGAAACUUCUAGGGCAGGGCAACCUAUUCCAGUCCUAGUUCUUGUAGUAAUUUGACCAUAGUGAAUCCACAACGGGGUUCAUUUAAUACUCCAAAACUCAUGGUUUGACCACAGUUUUAUUUUGGUGGUGACGAAACUACCCCCACCUCCGGGAGAUGAACUGACAAUACCUCUGGGCAUCCUAAGCAUGUUCUGGAUAAAACAACAGUCACCCUCAAGGAGAUAAUACCAUACAGGACAGCUGGGAGGCUGAUACUCAUGUACGCAGCAGAUACAGUAUGACGUAGGCACCAUCAAGGACAAGCAAGGCAUCAGACUUGUUGAUCUGCCUGGUGCUUAUCUGAGGAGGAGACAGAUGGCAGAUGGAAACAGAAGUAUCGAGGCAGCCUGUUUCUCACCAUUUGGCAGGGCAAGGAUGCACGCGCUUUCUGUGGGUCAAGUGAUGUUACAGAGAGCUGUCAGGUUUGUGUCUUUUGGCUGCUGCUCCACCCCAAAGGAAACAAUGCUGGCCAGAGAAGCAGCAUCAGAAGAUGAAGAAGGCAGAGGAGUGAAAGAGAAUGGAACUUGUCCCUUUCCCCCUGCAGGCCUCUCAAGUGAGCUGACGAGGGGAAGAAAAGAUGAAGUAAGUUCUGCUUUGUUGUCUGAUUUGCUUUCUUACACUACAGAGUAUGGUGGAAUCACACAGUGUGUACUUUUCUGUGUCUCCAUUUUUGCUCGGUGUGUCUUUGCGAUUCGUCCACCCUGUUGUGUGUCUGUAGUUCAUUUCUAUCCACUGCUGAGCAGCAUUUCACUGCAUGAACAUACCACGUUUGUUUAUUCACGCACUUGCUGUGGCAGUCAGCCCUCAGGAUGGCUGCAAGGAUCUCUGUCUCCAGGUGUUUGCAACAUUGUGCUGCCCCCUCCCAUAGGACAUAAGGGCUGGUCUGUGCGAUCAACAGACUAAGGCGGAGGUGAUGGUAUGUCACUUCUGAGGUUAGGUUAUGGAAGACACUGCAAAUUCUGUUUUGGUUGUUCUCUUCCUUUCUUGGGUCACUUGUUCUGGAGAAGCUGGCCCUCGUGUCCUAAGUAACCCUACAGAGGAGUCUGUAUGGCAGAGAGCCAAAUCAUCUCUGGAGAGAAAACAGGGACCCUGCUCCAGGGGAAGAUGGUGGUGUUAAGGUUCCAGAUGUCACUCCCUGGCCACGAGGACUGCGGGACCAUCCUCACAGUUUACAACAUUCCGCAUGACAUCCAGGGACCCGAGCACCCCAACCCUGGAAAGCCAUUUACUGCCAGAGGGUUUCCCUGCCAGUGUUACCAUCCAGACAACAUCCAGGGCCACAAGGUCCUGGAGCUCCCGAAGGUGCCCUAGAAAAGGUGGCUCAUCUUCACAGUGGGCACGUCCAGUACCAUGGGUGAUAGCGAUACUGUGGUGUGGAAUGAGAUCUACCACAAGACAGAGAUGGACUGCAACACGACAGGCCACGGCUACCCCAACCCCAACUACCUGCAGAAUGUGCUGGUCGAGUUGGCCUCCCAGAGGGUGACCGAGGACUGCCCGAAGCAGCCGUGACCUCUUGCCCUGGCACGCUGCCUCUGGUGGCCACCCUGCUGUCCCAUGGCUGGCUGGGUGGGCAGGCAGGA